rnacentral:rRNA from 1 species
UUGGAGGGCAAGUCUGGUCGCCAGCAGCCGCGGUAAUUCCAGCUCCAAUAGCGUAUAUUAAAGUUGUUGCAGUUAAAAAGCUCGUAGUUGAAUUUCGGGAUUAGUACGUCGGUCGUGCCUUAGGUACGUACUGGUGUUACUGGUUCCUACCUUCUGACGAACCAUCAUGUCAUUAAUUUGGUGUGGUGGGGAAUCAGGACAGUUACUUUGAAAAAAUUAGAGUGUUUAAAGCAGGCUCGCGCUUGAAUACAUUAGCAUGGAAUAAUGAAAUAGGUACG